rnacentral:rRNA from 1 species
UACGGAGGAUGCAAGCGUUAUCCGGAAUUAUUGGGUUUAAAGGGUCCGCAGGCGGCCCGUUAAGUCAGUAGUGAAAACCCGGGGCUCAACCCCGGACGUGCUACAGAUACUGGCGGGCUAGAGAGAGUCUGGAGGCAGCGGAAUGUGACAAGUAGCGGUGAAAUGCAUAGAUAUGUCACAGAACACCGAUAGCGAAAGCAGCUGCCUAAGACUUAUCUGACGCUCAGGGACGAAAGCGUGGGGAGCAAACAGG